CUAUUUUGUGAGAAUUUGUUUUUUGGUAUGGAUCCCAAACAGGGGCAGCAUAUUCCAGUUUUGAUCUCACAAGUGAGAUGUAGAGUUGUCUUAAACAUUCUAGUGACGAGUGGCCAUAGAACUGUCGGUAAAUUAUACCAACCUGCUUGCAGGCAUUUCUGCACAUUCCUUCUAUGUGUUUUGACCAUGAGAGGUCGUGAGAGAUCCACACUCCAAGGUACUUGUAGUGGUCAACUUUAAGUAGGGGACGUCCAUUGAUAUUGAGACACAUGUUGGGAAGUGGUGGGCUGAGUUUUCUUGAUAUAGUCAUGUAUUUACACUUGCUUUGGUUAAACAAGAGUACAUUUCUUUCAGACCAUGCUUGGAGUUGAUCAAUAUCUCCUUGCAAUUUUAGAUAAUCUUCAGGAGAUUGAAUAGGAUGGUAAAGAAGAAGAUCAUCAGCAUAGAGCAAGAGACUUCCUUCAUUUUGAUGUAGAUCGAUGUCAUUUAUAUAGAUUAGGAAAAGAAGAGGUCCCAGCACCGAACCCUGGGGAACUCCUGACACAACCUCCGAGAUAUUUGAUGACUUUCCAUUUAUUAUGACAUAUUCUGCUAUGUAUCACAAGUGAGGAAGGAGCUGCUCUGCUACACAUCUGUGCAUCUAUUAAGAAGCAGGCAUUAACACUUGUUGACAGUGUGGAAAGGUGCAGACUCACAUGAGGUUUGUUAGACAACCAGAGUUUAAUACUUUGGUUAUUUUUAUGUAGGGUAGAACAACUGGCCAGACAGCUAGAUGCCAGACAGCUAGAUGUCAGACAGCUAGAUGCCAGACAGCUAGACGUCAGUUAUCUAUAGAGUGGAAACGCGCUUGAAAGUCAUCAUUAUUUUGACAACAUUCAGACGAGGGGUUAAUUGAUGAUCCACUACUUCCCUGUUACUUUAUUUAUUUCAAUUAUUAGAUGGCUGCUUUUAUUGUGACCCCUUAUGUGACUAACUAUGAAUGGCUCGCACUUUAAAAAGUGUUCAGAGUUGCAUAGUGUGUUUCAUUUUGGAAAGCAGACAAGUAUGUAAGGGGUUCUUAGACCUGGUAAGGAAUGCAACCCACAUAUUAAAAAAAAUGGAAGUGCACCCACUGCUCAACCUUGUGGAAGACCUUGCUGUCUCUUCGGUCCCACUGCUGCUUUUAAUUAACACUGAAAGGUGUGAAGCCUUUAAUUUAUAUUGAUGAGGGAGAAGAAAGUUUUUCAAAUAGACGAGCCCUAAGUGGUGAUAUUACUGUUUCGUUUUCAACAUUAGAAGCAUUGAGAUUUGUCUAUUCAAGUGGCUAUUACCAGAGUGAGAUUUUCAACAGUGUGUUGCUGGGUUGACUAAUCUCUACAACCAGCAUGGAAUGGCCUGGUGUCUCAUCACACAUCUUGGCAAGGCUAUAUCAGUCUGGAACACUGAGAAAGGCUCAACCAACAAGUUGAGAGAUAUUGCCAGAUAUUGCCUUGUCUUUCGAUGGCACCAAUCAGAAUGGUGUGAAGUCUCAAGAGAAUACGAUGUACAUUCAUCAUCGUCUUGGAUGUUUUGGUGCAAACGUAUAUGGAGCAGUUUAUGAACACAUGUACAAAUUACUUCUUGCUUGAAUGUUGUGUAUGCAGGACUCCUGUUGUUCAUUCUAAUUGCUUAAUUGACGGCAUUUAUAGUGGUCUGUGCCAUAAUGGAAGAAGAAUCUUCCCCCUUCCACCUUGCCAAAAUGAGAGGCUUUUGACCCUUCGGACUGAACACGAGCUCGAGUUGGGUUUCGCCAUAUACAAUGAGCAAGACUGUCUGUUGUUAACUUAACAUUACUACACAGCCUUUUACAAUCGAACAAGAACGAGAGCAACUUAGCAUUAUCAUAGUAAUUUUUAUAAGUUGUCCUCUAGCUAUUUUAACCAUCCUUUUCAUGCAUGCACUUGUCAAUACAUAAU